GGAUGAACGCUGGCGGCGUGCCUAAUACAUGCAAGUCGAGCGAACAGACGAGGAGCUUGCUCCUCUGAUGUUAGCGGCGGACGGGUGAGUAACACGUGGAUAACCUACCUAUAAGACUGGGAUAACUUCGGGAAACCGGAGCUAAUACCGGAUAACAUGUUGAACCGCAUGGUUCAACAGUGAAAGACGGUCUUGCUGUCACUUAUAGAUGGAUCCGCGCCGCAUUAGCUAGUUGGUAAGGUAACGGCUUACCAAGGCAACGAUGCGUAGCCGACCUGAGAGGGUGAUCGGCCACACUGGAACUGAGACACGGUCCAGACUCCUACGGGAGGCAGCAGUAGGGAAUCUUCCGCAAUGGGCGAAAGCCUGACGGAGCAACGCCGCGUGAGUGAAGAAGGUCUUCGGAUCGUAAAACUCUGUUAUUAGGGAAGAACAAAUGUGUAAGUAACUAUGCACGUCUUGACGGUACCUAAUCAGAAAGCCACGGCUAACUACGUG
rnacentral:rRNA from 1 species